UAAGUGCGGGUCAUAAGCUCGCGUUGAUUAAGUCCCUGCCCUUUGUACACACCGCCCGUUGCCACUACCGAUUGGAUGUCCUCUCAAAACCAUCCA